rnacentral:rRNA from 1 species
AUUGAACGCUGGCGGCAGGCUUAACACAUGCAAGUCGAGCGGGGGAAGGUAGCUUGCUACCGGACCUAGCGGCGGACGGGUGAGUAAUGCUUAGGAAUCUGCCUAUUAGUGGGGGACAACAUCUCGAAAGGGAUGCUAAUACCGCAUACGUCCUACGGGAGAAAGCAGGGGAUCUUCGGACCUUGCGCUAAUAGAUGAGGCUAAGUCGGAUUAGCUAGUUGGUAGGGUAAAGGCCUACCAAGGCGACGAUCUGUAGCGGGUCUGAGAGGAUGAUCCGGCACACUGGGACUGAGACACGGCCCAGACUCCUGCGGGAGGCAGCAGUGGGGAAUAUUGGACAAUGGGGGGAACCCUGAUCCAGCCAUGCCGCGUGUGUGAAGAAGGCCUUACGGUUGUAAAGCACUUUAAGCGAGGAGGAGGCUACUCUAGUUAAUACCUAGGGAUAGUGGACGUUACUCGCAGAAUAAGCACCGGCUAACUCUGUGCCAGCCGCCGCAGUAA